rnacentral:rRNA from 1 species
CCUACGGGAGGCAGCAGUGAGGAAUAUUGGUCAAUGGGCUUACGCCUGAACCAGCCAAGUCGCGUGAGGGAAGACUGCCCUAUGGGUUGUAAACCUCUUUUGUCAGGGAGCAACGCCGGCUACGUGUAGCCGGACUGAGAGUACCUGAAGAAAAAGCAUCGGCUAACUCCGUGCCAGCAGCCGCGGUUAUACGGGGGAUGCGAGCGUUAUACGGAUUUAUUGGGUUUAAAGGGUGCGUGGGCGGAAUGCCAAGUCCGCGGUAAAAUCGCGGGGCUCAACCUCGCUCCGCCGUUGAAACUGGCGGUCUUGAGGGGGCGAGAAGGAUGCGGAAGUGGUGGUG